AGUGAACGCUGGCGGUAGGCCUAACACAUGCAAGUCGAACGGCAGCACAGUAAGAGCUUGCUCUUACGGGUGGCGAGUGGCGGACGGGUGAGGAAUACAUCGGAAUCUACUUUUUCGUGGGGGAUAACGUAGGGAAACUUACGCUAAUACCGCAUACGACCUACGGGUGAAAGCAGGGGAUCUUCGGACCUUGCGCGAUUGAAUGAGCCGAUGUCGGAUUAGCUAGUUGGCGGGGUAAAGGCCCACCAAGGCGACGAUCCGUAGCUGGUCGGAGAGGAUGAUCAGCCACACUGAAACUGAGACACGGUCCAGACUCCUACGGGAGGCAGCAGUGGGGAAUAUUGGACAAUGGGCGCAAGCCUGAUCCAGCCAUACCGCGUGGGUGAAGAAGGCCUUCGGGUUGUAAAGCCCUUUUGUUGGGAAAGAAAAGCAGCAGGUUAAUACCCCGCUGUUCUGACGGUACCCAAAGAAUAAGCACCGGCGAACUUCGU
rnacentral:rRNA from 1 species